UACGUAGGGUGCGAGCGUUUAAUCGGAAUUACUGGGCGUAAAGCGUGCGCAGGCGGUGAUGUAAGACCGAUGUGAAAUCCCCGGGCUUAACCUGGGAACUGCAUUGGUGACUGCAUUGCUGGAGUAUGGCAGAGGGGGGUGGAAUUCCACGUGUAGCAGUGAAAUGCGUAGAGAUGUGGAGGAACACCGAUGGCGAAGGCAGCCCCCUGGGCCAAUACUGACGCUCAUGCACGAAAGCGUGGGGGAGCAAACAGG
rnacentral:rRNA from 1 species